AUGGAUCACAACCUGGAGAUUCUCUGCUGGAAUGUGCGGGUUUUAAAUAACCCGGCAAAAAGAAAGGCGAUUAGGGAGAUCGUCGUCUCGACAAAAGUUAACGUGGUGUGUCUGCAGGAGACAAAACUCAAUGUAAUUGAUCAAUAUGAUGUUAUGCAAUGCAUAGGGCCAUCCUUUGAUGGUUUUGCUUAUUUGCCAGCGUCGGAGACCCGUGGUGGCAUCCUUUUGGCUUGGGACUCCAGUGUGGCGUACAUGGAUAAUGUGGUGGCCGAUACUUAUUGUAUCACUGGCAGAGUGACUACAAAGGAGGGGAACAUGUGGUGGUUUACCGGAGUUUACGGGCCACAGGGGGUGAGGAUAAAGCUGCAUUCCUAG
rnacentral:rRNA from 1 species